GUAGUACUUUCUCUGUCCCAAAAUUCUUGUCUUAAAUUUAUCUAAAUACAAAUAUAUCCAACACUAAUAUAUGACUAGAUGGAUUCAUAUGUAGACAAAUUUAAAACAAAAAUUUUGGGACAGAGCGAGUACUAU
rfam:Triticum aestivum genome assembly, contig: Triticum_aestivum_CS42_TGACv1_scaffold_220798_3B